rnacentral:tRNA from 1 species
GUUUUUAUAGUUGAAGAACAACGGUGGUUUUUCGAAUCAUUGGUCUUGGUUAAAAUCCUAGUAGAAAUG